rnacentral:rRNA from 1 species
UACGUAGGGGGCAAGCGUUGUCCGGAUUUACUGGGCGUAAAGAGCGUGUAGGCGGCCACGCAGGUCCGUUGUGAAAACUGGAGGCUCAACCUCCAGCUGUCGACGGAAACCGUGUGGCUAGAGUCCGGAAGAGGAGAGUGGAAUUCCUGGUGUAGCGGUGAAAUGCGCAGAUAUCAGGAGGAACACCGGUGGCGAAGGCGGGUCUCUGGGCCGAAAUUGACGCUGAGGAGCGAAAGCGUGGGAGCAAACAGG